GCCCUGUCUAUCCUCCAAAAGCACAUGAAUCCUCACAGUCUGAAUGCUAACUCUUAGAAUCUUACUCACACCUCUGAAAACCCGACUUUCCAGAAACCGAGUACUUGGACAUUAAUAAAAUAAAGGCAUGCACAAAUGAGCGCACACACAAAUAUGAAGACACGGGAACCCCACACCAAUCUGUCAAAGUCUCAACUUGUUUUGCUUUGUCAGAUGCACAGAACAUAAAGUUUAAUUAUGGGGAAAAACGGCCAGCAUAUGUUCAUUAAUCAUAAAAUGACAAUUAGAUCUGAUUUAUGUCAAACAUGCUGAGUUCAAACAGAGCUCCAGAAAUAAAUUCAUAAGAACCAAAGCUUUUCAUUAAAGAUUCUGCAAGAGGGGAUCACAUUUUCUAUCUAAAUCAUCACUUAACAUUAUAUAAAUCAUUCAUUAAGUCAUAUAUAAAUUAUACAUCCAUAAUUUCCAAUUAUAGGGCCUUACAUAAAAGUUUACGUUUAUUGGAGCUCUCAGACCCGAAAUGAUUGCCAAGCAAAUCUCCCUGAGGUGUGCAGGGUGACAGGAGGCCACCCCCAUCACAACCACACCUUCCUGGGGAUGUCAGGAAGCCCCGCUGUCUUCUGAGACAAUCAUCACAAGCUG
rnacentral:lncRNA from 1 species